CGGGGGCUUACAUGCAGUCGAACGAUGAACCUGCUUCGGCGGGGGAUUAGUGGCGAACGGGUGAGUACACGUGGGCAAUCUGCCCUGCACUCUGGGACAAGCCCUGGAAACGGGGUCUAAUACCGGAUACGACCACUUCAGGCAUCUGAUGGUGGUGGAAAGCUCCGGCGGUGCAGGAUGAGCCCGCGGCCUAUCAGCUUGUUGGUGAGGUAACGGCUCACCAAGGCGACGACGGGUAGCCGGCCUGAGAGGGCGACCGGCCACACUGGGACUGAGACACGGCCCAACUCCUACGGGAGGCAGCAGUGGGGAAUAUUGCACAAUGGGCGAAAGCCUGAUGCAGCGACGCCGCGUGAGGGAUGACGGCCUUCGGGUUGUAAACCUUUUCAGCAGGGAAAAGCGAAAGUGACGGUACCUGCAAAAAGCGCCGGCUAACUACGUGCCAGCAGCCGCGGUAAUACGUAGGGCGCAAGCGUUGUCCGGAAUUAUUGGGCGUAAAGAGCUCGUAGGCGGCCUGUCGCGUCGGUUGUGAAAGCCCGGGGCUUAACCCCGGGUCUGCAGUCGAUACGGGCAGGCUAGAGUUCGGUAGGGGAGAUCGGAAUUCCUGGUGUAGCGGUGAAAUGCGCGAUAUCAGGAGGAACACCGGUGGCGAAGGCGGAUCUCUGGGCCGAUACUGACGCUGAGGAGCGAAAGCGUGGGGAGCGAACAGGAUUAGAUACCCUGGUAGUCCACGCCGUAAACGUUGGGCACUAGGUGUGGGCGACAUUCCACGUCGUCCGUGCCGCAGCUAACGCAUUAAGUGCCCCGCCUGGGGAGUACGGGCCGCAAGGCUAAAACUCAAAGGAAUUGACGGGGGCCCGCACAAGCGGCGGAGCAUGUGCUAUUCGACGCACGCGAGAAUCUUACCAAGGCUGACUCA
rnacentral:rRNA from 1 species